rnacentral:rRNA from 1 species
CCUGGUGCCUAUGGCGCAGUGGGCCCACGCCGACCCAUCCCGAACUCGGUUGUGAAACGCUGCAGCGGCAAAUCUACUUGAGGGGUGGCCCUCCGGUAAUCUAGCUCGGUGCCAGGU